rnacentral:rRNA from 1 species
AAACCAACAGGGAUUGCCUUAGUAACGGCGAGUGAAGCGGCAAAAGCUCAAAUUUGAAAGCUAGCACCUUCGGUGUUCGCGUUGUAAUUUGAAGAUAGUUUCCUUGAGUAGUCCUUUAUCUAUGUUCCUUGGAACAGGACGUCAUAGAGGGUGAGAACCCCGUAUGAUUUUGGAUACUACUCUUUGUGGGAUUCUAUCGAAGAGUCGAGUUGUUUGGGAAUGCAGCUCUAAGUGGGUGGUAAAUUCCAUCUAAAGCUAAAUAUUGGCGAGAGACCGAUAGCGAACGAGUACAGUGAUGGAAAGAUGAAAAGAACUCUGAAGAGAGAGUGAAAAAGUACGUGAAAUUGCUGAAAGGGAAGGGCUUGAGGUCAGACUUGGUGUUUAAUGAUUAUCAGUUCUUCUUGGACUGUGCACUCGUUUUUCACCGGGCCAAUAUCAGUUUUAGCGGUAGAGUACCCCUUGAAAUGUGGCUUCCUUCGGGGAGUGUUAUAGUCUUGGGGAGAUCUACUUGCUGGGACUGAGGACUGCGCUUCGGCAAGGAUAUUGGCGUAAUGACCUUAAGC